rnacentral:rRNA from 1 species
AACGAACGCUGGCGGCAUGCCUAACACAUGCAAGUCGAACGAAGUCCUUCGGGGCUUAGUGGCGCACGGGUGCGUAACGCGUGGGAAUCUGCCCCUUACUUCGGAAUAACAGUUAGAAAUGACUGCUAAUACCGGAUGAUGUCGCAAGACCAAAGAUUUAUCGGCAAGGGAUGAGCCGCGUAGGAUUAGGUAGUUGGUGGGGUAAAGGCCUACCAAGCCGACGAUCCUUAGCUGGUCUGAGAGGAUGAUCAGCCACACUGGGACUGAGACACGGCCCAGACUCCUACGGGAGGCAGCAGUGGGGAAUAUUGGACAAUGGGGGAAACCCUGAUCCAGCAAUGCCGCGUGAGUGAUGAAGGCCUUAGGGUUGUAAAGCUCUUUUACCCGGGAUGAUAAUGACAGUACCGGGAGAAUAAGCUCCGGCUAACUCCGUGCCAGCCGCCGCCGUAAUAC